rnacentral:tRNA from 1 species
GGAGGCGUGCGUGAGCGGCUCAAACGAACGGUUUGCUAAACCGUGGAGGUCUAAAAAACCUCACGCAGGUUCGAAUCCUGCCGCCUCCG